GACAGAGGGUGCAAACGUUGUUCGGAAUUACUGGGCGUAAAGCGCGUGUAGGCUGCUCGGAAAGUCGGAUGUGAAAGCCCUGGGCUCAACCCAGGAAGUGCAUUCGAAACUCCCGAGCUUGAGUUCCGGAGAGGAAGGCGGAAUUCUCGGUGUAGAGGUGAAAUUCGUAGAUAUCGAGAGGAACACCGGUGGCGAAGGCGGCCUUCUGGACGGAAACUGACGCUGAGACGCGAAAGCGUGGGGAGCAAAC
rnacentral:rRNA from 1 species